rnacentral:lncRNA from 1 species
UAACUGGAGUUAUUUAGUCAAUCUCUGGUUCACAAGCCUUAUAUAGUGCUGUACAAUAGGAUGGAUCUUCCGGAGGCAUAUGACAGAUGGAAUAUGUUCCAUGAACAGGCAAGGUAUACAGGAUGUAGUUUAUGCUGCCUACAAGGUUGCACAGAAAGAGAAACAAAGGGAGAAAGAAGCCCAAGGUGCUAUAUACCCUACAUUGGGAGUAAGAAGUUUAUGUUUCAGUGCUUGUAUGUUAAUUUCAGCAAGCUCAUCUUGGAAGAGUUCUUUUUUUUUUUCAGAUUGCGUUGUUUGCCCUCCUUGACGCACGUAGGCGACGAGGAGGCCGCACCAUGGAUGACAAACGGCACCAGUCGAUCUCUUCCAGGACGGCCUGCUUACCCUGUCACACCUACUGGAUCAUCCAUCACUAUCUUCAGCAGCAGAAGAUACCACCACAGGAACAAAUACCUGCAAAACUGAAAGGCCGUUAUCUAAUUCAAUUCCUGAAUCAUCUAAGACCCUAUUAUGCAAGAAUAGCAUCAUAAUGCAUGAAGGCAAGGGGUAAAAAUAAGAUAACAUGAAGGAAGACAAAGUUCAAGGAAGAAAAUAGUAGUACUUCCAAUGAAUUCUGUUCUUGAGUGACUUUUCUGUAAGACCAAUUCCUUCAAGGACAUUGGUGAAUCAGUGUACCAGUCUUAUUCAAAUACUACCCACUGAAACCACUAUGAUUGAAAAUGACAUGAUUGGGAGAUGACAUAUCAAUAUCCUCUAUCUCUGUCAAGCGAAUAUGCAUGACAUUAAAUCAACAAGCACUAUAAGAAGGGGCUACCCAGCAGUUCCAUUUCGUUUUCUACUAGAAACUCCCCAUUUCACUAAUUUGCAGGUACCCACGGGUUGGUGAUCCACAAAUCACCACUUAAUUUUUAUUUGGCUAUUUUUUAUUUUGAUAAACAAUAUAAUAAUUUAGCAUAUAUGCAUCUUAGAUGCAGAGACCAAGGAAAUAAAAGCCUCGGUUACAAUAAAUAACAAUCCCCAUGUCAGCUCUCAUCCCGGCACGGAUCGCUGACGACGGAGUUGUGCUCAAGGUGUGGCCAAGCAGCCACUUGACCACCUCGCUGGGCGCGACCCUGCGGCCCAUGUCGUAUGACGCCCAACUACAGCCGUGGAGCCACAGGCUAUGUGGGUCUAACCGCUGCCAGUCGCCCUACUGGCAGGUGCCUGCUCCACAGGAGUGCUACGAUUCACCGCCGGUAGCAUUUCCAUCAGACAAACACCAAAGAAAAGGAUGACUAGCCUGAUGGAACAUAAUAUUGUUGUUAUUCGUUUGGCCCGGCUUUGGUAACUCAUCUGCUACCCUAUUGCACUCACUUCUCGCAUUUUCAGUCCGACACUCUGCAGGCCUGCUAAGAAAGAAAUGACAGAGGACCACCGAGAUUUGUUCUCUUGAUUCAUAGCAAAAAAAUUGCAACUCCAGCGGAAUCUGUUACCGUAAUUGGGAAAAUUCACGUGUUCCAUGGCAAGCUUUAUCCCCUGCAAACAAGAUAUGCUUCCACCUCCUCAAGCCUCCGCAUAAAUACCUAAUAAGUUGUUCCAAGCUGAUAAUAAGGCAUUGCCUCAACUGUCCCUCAAGACGACGCACGCCAAUGCUAGCUUCCCAUGACCCACUAUCCCAUACUAGAUUCAAGGAUUACAAAUGAACCGUCAAUAUUUAGACGGAACAUGGAAAGCUUAGGAUGACCAUUACCAGUGGUGACAAAGCAGAUGUCUAUUGAACAUCUAGAUGUUUUUCAAUCAGGAAAGGGUCAUAUUUUGGACCAUAUAUUAAUAGACACCUGUCAUUAGCAAACCAGCCAAAAAACACAAAAACGACAGCCGCUAAUGGAUUUCGGGUUUGGUCUUUCUUUCGUUACAUCCCGACCAGUUGGCCAUACCGUAGUGUUUAGUGUGAGCACCAUUAUUGGAAUUGGAGUAUCUCUUUCAAGCCCGCACAUAAUGGACAGCGUGGGAAUAUCUACAAUAGGGGACAGCCCAUCAUAGACCACAGGAAUCCAUACCCCCAUGGAAAGUUGUGAGGUGAGGAUAAAUACAAACAUAGAAAGUAAAGCUUAGUCCGAAAAUGAAUAGAGAGGAAAUGGAAUUAGAAAGGGGAUGAAUUGGUUACUUGGCAGCUUGACGUGCUCUCGGCCUUUACUAGGCUAGCUUUUGCUAUAUGUGAUAAGGAAAAUGGGAAGAAUUGGGGGCGCUUCGCUCUUUAAAGGAGUUUUGUUUCCGGCCCAAUUACAAUUCCCUCUGUUUCUUUGGUCCAGAGUAAAAAAAAAGCCCAUGCCAAUAAUCCCCCUUGAUGAAAAAAAUAUAUCUGUACCUUCUUCCCUAAGGUAUCGAUGGAAAAAAGAAAAAAUAGACAAGCUAGAUCGGGGAAGGAACAGAACAGCAAGCAAAUAGCUAAGGAACAGAAAAUGAAAGCCUCUACAGUACUUGUAUAUUUCUAAAGCAACGAACGAAGCAGAAAGAAUACUGAGCAAACACUCCAAACUUGCAGCCAGUCAAGAAAUCCACAGAUGCCUGUUCAAGCAAUGUGCUGAUGGUACAAAAUCCGAGACAAGAAAACAAGAAUGGAAGCCAGAUUUCCAGAGACAGGUGCUGGCCAGGUAUGCAACCAAACAUGUCUCAGUUUCUUGUCUGAUCAUUGAGACACUUUUUAGGUGGACGCAUUCCAAUUUGUUUUUAUUCAUAACUCUGAAAGUAAACUGACAAAGUGAUACUACAAAACUGAGAAACAAAAUGCUAGCUCAGUCUAUAAUCAGGCACCAAGUUUUCAGAAGCACGCUAUAUUUGAAACCCUUUUCUGUCACUCAGAACUAAGAACCAACCAAACAAAAAGUGCAGAAAAAAAAUAUCAGAAUCUGAUGUGCCCUGUAUGAUGUAUCAAACACAGAAAAGGAAAAAAAAUUCAGAACACACAGCUAGGUUUAGAAUAGAUAGAUACACUAGGAAGAUUUAUUAGCUAGACGAUUUCCUGAACUAAAGACAUCAGCCAAGCAAUUUUUUCCAGGGACAAUUUGCUGAAAUUUGUCAAGUACAAAAAUAGCUGAAAUAAAUGACGAACACCUACCGUUCAGAUUCCCUGUGCCACACUCCAGCCUGCACAGAUAAACUGUGGCAUAUGAAAAUAACCAUCUCAUAUACCAAAAACUUU